GACGAACGCUGGCGGCGUGCUUAACACAUGCAAGUCGAACGGAAAGGCCCUGCUUUUGUGGGGUGCUCGAGUGGCGAACGGGAGAGUAACACGUGAGUAACCUGCCCUUGACUUUGGGAUAACUUCAGGAAACUGGGGCUAAUACCGGAUAGGAGCUCCUGCUGCAUGGUGGGGGUUGGAAAGUUUCGGCGGUUGGGGAUGGACUCGCGGCUUAUCAGCCUGUUGUUGGGGUAGUGGCUUACCAAGGCUUUGACGGGUAGCCGGCCUGAGAGGGUGUCCGGCCAGAUUGGGACUGAGAUACGGCGCAGACUCCUACGGGAGGGAGCAGUGGGGAAUAUUGCACAAUGGGCGGGAGCCUGAUGCAGCAACGCCGCGUGCGGGAUGACGGCCUUCGGGUUGUGAACCGCUUUCGCCUGUGACGAAGCGUGAGUGACGGUAAUGGGUAAAGAAGCACCGGCUAACUACGUG
rnacentral:rRNA from 1 species